UCAAUCAGACCCAAACUCAUCCACUAAUCCAUUUGUAUUUUUAGUGUCUCCAGCUUUUUAUGAAACUCCCAAUAAAUAUGAUUGUGACGUGUUCCUGAGAGUCCUUGACAUCAUAUUAAAGCAGCAACUAAUGAUAGAUGAAUCAAUUGCUAAUGUCACCAAAGUUCUCAAUUUUCUCCAUAAUUAUGUUAUUGUCAAGAGUUAAGUACUACUGUUUAAUACUGGAAGCUACACCAAUUCUUCUUGGACCACUCCUCUCAUUAUUCUUAAGGAUGGGGCCAUCCCCCUCCACUCAGAACUGUGUUGUGAUUAUUAAGAAAAUAUUUAGGAAUUAUUUGAAACUAACAAGAGUCAUGCAGAUGAAUUACCAUGUUCAAAGUUAAUGUCAGUGAUACAAGAGUAUCUUGUCAGCAAUUUAUUAAAUAAUAAGGAACAUAUAUUCAGCCCCUUGAUUGCUAUAGCAGCACAUUAUCCCACCCUCAUAUCCAAAGCACUGUCUCUAGCUAAAAAGCUUGUUGAAGAACAUGAAAGUAAAACCUGUCGUCAAGAUGAUUUAUUGUGGAAGCCAUUAAAGAAAUUAGAGGAGGCUGUCACUGUGCCAAGAAAUAAAUUUAACAAGACAUAAUCCUUUUUAUGCAACUAUUACUGUUUAUUUUUAAGUAUGCUAGAAAUAGCAAUU